rnacentral:rRNA from 1 species
CCUACGGGUGGCAGCAGUGAGGAAUAUUGGUCCAUGGGCUUACGCCUGAACCAGCCAAGUCGCGUGAGGGCAGACUGCCCUAUGGGUUGUAAACCUCUUUUGUCAGGGAGCAACGCCGGCUACGUGUAGCCGGACUGAGAGUACCUGAAGAAAAAGCAUCGGCUAACUCCGUGCCAGCAGCCGCGGUAAUACGGAGGAUGCGAGCGUUAUCCGGAUUUGUUGGGUUUAACGGGUGCGUGGGCGGAAUGCCAAGUCAGCGGUAAAAUCGCGGGGCUCAACCUCGCUACGCCUUUGACACUGGCGUUCUUGAGUGGGCGAGAAGUAUGCGGAAUGCGUGGGGUAGCGGGGAAAUGCAUAGAUAUCACGCAGAACGCCGAUUGCGAAGGCAGCAUACCGGCGCCCAACUGACGCUGAAGCACGAAAGCGUGGGUAUCGAACAGGAUGAGAUACCCUUGUAGUC